rnacentral:rRNA from 1 species
CCUACGGUGGACAGCAGUGAGGAAUAUUGGUCAAUGGUCGCGAGACUGAACCAGCCAAGUAGCGUGAAGGAUGACUGCCCUACGGGUUGUAAACUUCUUUUAUACGGGAAUAAAAUGCGGCACGUGUGCCGUUUUGUAUGUACCUCAUGAAUAAGGAUCGGCUAAUUCCGUGCCAGCAGCCGCGGUAAUACGGAGGAUCCGGGCGUUAUCCGGAUUUAUUGGGUUUAAAGGGAGCGUAGGUGGGUUGUUAAGUCAGUCGUGAAAGUCUGUGGCUCAACCGUAGAACUGCGAUGGAAACUGGCUGCCUUGAGUACAGUUGAGGUAUGCGGAAUUCGUGGUGUAGCGGUGAAAUGCUUAGAUAUCACGAAGAACUCCGAUUGCGAAGGCAGCCUACUAAACUGCCACUGACACUGAUGCUCGAAAGUGUGGGUAUCGAACAGGAUUAGAUACCCUGGUAGUC